UACGGGGGGAGCAAGCGUUGUUCGGAUUUACUGGGCGUAAAGGGCGGGUAGGCGGCCACUGCAAGUCGGUUGUGAAAUCUCCGGGCUUAACUCGGAAAGGUCAAUCGAUACUGCAGGGCUAGAGUGCAGAAGGGGCAACUGGAAUUCCCGGUGUAGUGGUGGAAUGCGUAGAUAUCGGGAGGAACACCAGUGGCGAAGGCGGUUGCCUGGAGCUUUGCUGACGCUGAGGCGCGAAAGCGUGGGGAGCGAUCCGG
rnacentral:rRNA from 1 species